UUUGAGUUUUUGCUUGUAAGCAGGAACCAGGAGGAUAAAGUUAUGGUAAUAUUUGCCAAAUGGAGGGUGAGGGAGAGCUUUGAAAGAUCCCUUUGUGUGGAGUUAAGGUGAUCUAGAGUUUUUUUCCCCUCUAGUUGCAUUUCUACAUGCUGAUAGAAACGAUGUAAGACGGAUUUGCAUUAAAAUCACCAGCCACUAGGACCGUUGCCUCUGGAGAGCGAGCUGAUCAAGGGGUCGAAAAUGUAGAUAUUGCCAGAUGUUCACUGUCCGAGGAUCAGGCCGUGGAAGCUUUUUUGCUGGCAAAGUGUCCAUAACCAGAGGUUAUACCAGCUGUUUUGGUGAACCCCUCCCGCCUCUGAACUGGCUGACACAGAGGCCACAGCAUGUCACUUGGUCAGGUCAACAGGAAGCAUUAUUAAAGAGAUGCUUUACAUUGAAAUACAGACAGAGAUGUAGUAGUCCCAGAGUGACUGACCUUGUUAGAAUAAAACAAAACAAGGCUUAGUCAUGCACUCUCUCUAUCCAUCAGUCACUCGUCUGCAGGUAUGUUUUGAUGUGAGAGAGGAAGCCAGUCCCAUCAUCGCCACCUCACCCGCUCUUAAGAUAACCUUCGGGCCAACUGGGGGCCCAAGGCUGGUUAGGAGACACAGCUGAGAGAAUAUUAGGGUAGCACUGUAAUUCAUUAAUCAUAUGCUGUCUGCUGCUGUUCUAACCUCUUUCCCUUUCUGUCUUCUACACCUUUCUCCCCACCUCAUCUUUCUUCCUCAUUUUAUAAUGUGCAUUGAAGUACAGAUUGAACUUGUAUUUAUAAUACUACAAUUAUCAUAAUUAUAAUGCAUUUAUUAUGUAUUUAUAACACUUGGAUAAUGAACCUCUUUCAAUAAAGUGUUUCACAUUCUCCACUGGUUGAAAAUAAGUAUCUUAUUGAAAUACUAUCCGGUGUCCUCAGAUUAAUGCAGAUGAAGGG
rnacentral:lncRNA from 1 species